AGUCCACGCCGUAAACGAUGUCGACUUGGAGGUUGUGCCCUUGAGGCGUGGCUUCCGGAGCUAACGCGUUAAGUCGACCGCCUGGGGAGUACGGCCGCAAGGUUAAAACUCAAAUGAAUUGACGGGGGCCCGCACAAGCGGUGGAGCAUGUGGUUUAAUUCGAUGCAACGCGAAGAACCUUACCUGGUCUUGACAUCCACGGAAGUUUUCAGAGAUGAGAAUGUGCCUUCGGGAACCGUGAGACAGGUGCUGCAUGGCUGUCGUCAGCUCGUGUUGUGAAAUGUUGGGUUAAGUCCCGCAACGAGCGCAACCCUUAUCCUUUGUUGCCAGCGGUCCGGCCGGGAACUCAAAGGAGACUGCCAGUGAUAAACUGGAGGAAGGUGGGGAUGACGUCAAGUCAUCAUGGCCCUUACGACCAGGGCUACACACGUGCUACAAUGGCGCAUACAAAGAGAAGCGACCUCGCGAGAGCAAGCGGACCUCAUAAAGUGCGUCGUAGUCCGGAUUGGAGUCUGCAACUCGACUCCAUGAAGUCGGAAUCGCUAGUAAUCGUGGAUCAGAAUGCCACGGUGAAUACGUUCCCGGGCCUUGUACACACCGCCCGUCACACCAUGGGAGUGGGUUGCAAA
rnacentral:rRNA from 1 species